AGCAGGAUGGAGGAGUCUGGAGUCCUCACCGGGCCCAUAACCCGGGGAUCGCGUGGUUCAAAUCCCGCUCCUGCUA
rnacentral:tRNA from 1 species